rnacentral:misc_RNA from 1 species
UAAAUUAAUGUAACUAGUAAUAAUUUUGAAUUACAUUAACAAUGGCUAAGAUAUCUAAAUUAAAUUAUUGUUCAACUGAAUUACCACAGCACAGAGUCUUAUGUUUGUACUACUACUCUGAUUGUCUUGGAUUUCUUCACGACACUCAAGAAGAAGAAGUAUAUAAAACUGAUCAAAUAACAGAAUGGGACAUCGUUGAACAUGAAAAUGUUAUUGCAAAAGUCAACAUAUCAACAAAAAAUGGAUUAAACGAAGACUUGAGUAUUUAUAAGUUUUUUAAGAUACACAAGUGUUAUCAUAUAAUACCAAAAUCGUCAAAGCUCGUUGUUUUUGAUACACAAUUACUCGUAAAGAAAGCUUUUUUUGCAUUAGUAUACAAUGGAUUAAGAGCAGCUCCAUUAUGGGAUUCAAAAAAACAAAAAUUUGUUGGAAUGCUUACAAUUACAGAUUUUAUUCAAAUUCUUCAGAUGUACUAUGUUUCAUCAAAUUUUCAAAUGGAUGAAUUAGAAACUCAUCACCUGGAAACAUGGAGAAGUGUUCUUUGUAAUACGAAAGAUUUAGUAUUUAUCUGCCCAGAUGCUAGUUUGUUUGAAGCUAUUAAAAUGCUUAUUAAAAACAAAGUUCACCGUUUACCUGUCAUAGACCCUGAUACAAACAAUGUGCUGUGCAUUCUUACACACAAACGCUUACUAAGAUUUCUAUUCAUUUAUAUUUAUACUCUUCCAAAACCUCAAUUUCUUGCAAAAUCAGUCUUUGAGCUUAAUGUUGGUACGUAUGAAAAUAUUGAAACAGCAAGACCUUCAACACGUAUUAUUGAGGCUCUUCAUAAAUUUGUGAAUAAAAAAAUAUCCGCUCUCCCUAUCGUGAACAAUGAUGGAAAGCUAGUAGAUAUAUAUGCCAAAUUUGAUGUUAUAAACUUGGCUGCGGAAAAAACUUACGAAAAUCUUGAUAUCUCCUUAGAAGAAGCAAACGAAUACAGAAAUGGAUGGUUUGAAGGUGUGCAUAAAUGUAAGCAAACGGACUCUCUUUUCGAUGUUAUGAAAAAUAUUGUUAAAGCAGAGGCAAUUGCAAAUUGAAUACAUGUACAUCCAAUAACUUUAAUGAAUUAUUUUGAUCACGGAUUAUCACAUCUUUCGUUUGAGUACACGUAUAUGUGUUAUUAUAUACAACCUUGUUAGUUUAUUAAAGAAAGUCUCUGUGACAGCAACACUUCUCCCGAUAUCAUAUAUGAGUUCACCGACUAGUGGUCGUUGAUGAUGAUGAUAAAGUUAUUGGUAUUAUUUCUUUAUCAGAUUUGCUGGCAUUUCUGGUUAUGAAGCCAUCCAUAUUUAAUGAAAAGUCUAUUUCCAUUCAGGAAACUAAAAAUGAUUCUAAAUUUAAUUCAGAAUCUAUGCAUAGUUAAUGUUGUAUAAUAGUAGAAAUUUAUCAUUUAGA